UGCUCUGGGGCUGGCCUUGCACACGCUUCCCCAGACUUCGCUCCUCCAGCUGCUCUGCUACCGAUGACCAGGCCCUCCAUGUCCCUUCAAAGUGAGGAACGGCUCUCAGCUCUCUCCUGGCCCGUCAUCCUUGCUGAGCAGAGCAGGCUCUGCCCCUAGGCGCUGGACAGCCUCUCCCCACAGUGUCACCCACUGGACAGUCAGCGAGCUCAAACUCUGCCCUGGGAGGGCAGCCACAGCGGAGGCAGGGCCUGCUCCAAAAGUGCUGCCAGAAAAGUUGUUCAAGGUUGUUCCACAAAUAGUAAAUUUUCUCCCGUGUUGUCUUUAAUAGGAGCUUAAAAUGGAUCUUUAGAAGGCUGCGUGGGUUGAACAGCAGGAAAUUUUAACCAAGUCAUUAAUAGCUAAUGACGGCCGUCCCUGGUCCACUGGAAGGAGGAGACGGAGACCAGCUCAAGGCAAGGGGAAGUGGUAGCUUCUUGCUGGACACAUUUGUUAGUCUAAGGUUGGGUAAAUCUUUUUUUUUUUGCGGCAGGGUCUCCCUUUGUAGUUCAAGCUGACCCCUGAGCUCACUGUAUAGCCCCGGAGGGCCUUGAACUCUGGGCAAUCCUCCUGCCUCAGCCUUUCAAGUGCUGGGAUUACAGGCAUGCACCUGGCUCUGAUUGGGUAUAUCUUCCUGGCUCAUUGACUUUUGUUUGUGGUUUGUUUAUAGAUAUUACAUUAUGUAGAUCUUUAUAUAUGUUCAUAUAGCUAUAUUUAUGUCCCAUAAACUCUUCUGGAUUUGUUUUUCCUACCUGUGUUUUAAUGUUAUUUUAAAUCAACAUAAGAUAUCUUAAAUAUUCCUUUCUGCACUUGAGCCUGGCAAUGAUUCAUUUAAAUAUGCCCUACUAAGAAUCACAGGUCAGAUGAAUAUCCUGUAUUGAGAAUAUACAGAAAGCAUGCAAAACUCAAUAGUAAGAAAUCAACUCAGUAAAAAGAGUCAAAGGUUUGAGAAGACAUUUCCCCCCAAAUGGUAAGCACACAUGUUAAAAAAUGCUCAGUCUCAUUAGCCCUUGGGAAAAUGCAAAUUAAACCGUAGUGAGCUACCACCAGAUACCAAGCUUUAGGGAGGGUGUAUGAAAGGGUGGACAUGCAGGCUGGUGAGAGGUAAAGAAGCAACAUCAUCAUUUUGCAAGGCAGUUUGCUAUUCUCUACAGAGUGUUUAACAUGUAUGGUAAGACUCAACCACGCCAUUCCUGAGUACUUAACCUGAGAGAAGUAAGAACAUAUAUCUAUGUGAAUAUGCGUGUAAGAAAGUUCACAGCAGCUUCAUUUAUAAUAGUCUCAAAUUGGAAACAACCCAAAUGUCCAUCAAUAAAUGGAUGAAUAAACAAAGUAUGGUAUGUCCUACAAUUGAAUAGUACCCUAGAAUAAAACAGAAUAAAAUAUUGGUACUUGCAUUAACUUGGGUUAACCUAAGAAUAAUUACCCUAAGUGAAAAACUAUUUUUUUUCAGAAAUAAUAGGGAAUACUGUGAGAUUCUAUUUACAUAAUAUUCUAGAAAAUACAAAUGAAUCUACAGAAAGAGUUCCAGUUCCCUGUGGACCUGGAUGAGGGAUUCUAAAGGCAUACUAAGAAGUUUGGAGAUGAUAUAUAUGUCCAUUAAGCUCAUUAUAGGGAACGAUUCAUGUAAAUAAGUAUAGGUCAAAAUUAAUCAAAUUGUGUAUUAGGCAUGUUUAAGUCAUUGCUUAUCAAUUAAACCUUAAUAAAGCUUUCUAAAAAAUA